GGAAUAUAUACUUUUGGUAAAUAAAAUCCAUCUCUAGGAAGAAAAACUGAGGUUGGAGGUCGAGAAGAUGGAAAAUGAUAAGGAAAAAGAGAUAAAUAAAAUCUGUCAAGAGGAUGAAAGACUGAGGUUGGAGGUAGAGAAACUAUAGCUCACCAAGAAGGAAGCGAAUCAGCGCAUUAUGAUGAUGGAUGUGAGUGCCAUGCCAGG